AGAUUGAACGCUGGCGGCAGGCCUAACACAUGCAAGUCGAGCGGCAGCACGGGUACUUGUACCUGGUGGCGAGCGGCGGACGGGUGAGUAAUGCCUAGGAAUCUGCCUGGUAGUGGGGGAUAACGCUCGGAAACGGACGCUAAUACCGCAUACGUCCUACGGGAGAAAGCAGGGGACCUUCGGGCCUUGCGCUAUCAGAUGAGCCUAGGUCGGAUUAGCUAGUUGGUGAGGUAAUGGCUCACCAAGGCGACGAUCCGUAACUGGUCUGAGAGGAUGAUCAGUCACACUGGAACUGAGACACGGUCCAGACUCCUACGGGAGGCAGCAGUGGGGAAUAGUUGGACAAUGGGCGAAAGCCUGAUCCGAAGCCAUGCCGCGUGUGUGAAGAGGUCUUCGGAUUGUAAAGCACGUUUAAGUGGAGGAAGGCAAGUUACCUAAUACGUAUCUUAGUUUGACGUUACGACUAGUAAUAAGCUACCGGCUAAACGUCUGUCGCCAGACG
rnacentral:rRNA from 1 species